rnacentral:lncRNA from 13 species
UAUGAUUACAGCCCAAACAAUGAGAGGGAAGGGGAGAGAUAGAGAGCGAGGAGAGGUGCAGAGAAAGAGAGGAGAGAUGCAGAGAAAGAGAAAGAGAGGAGAGAUAGAGAGCGAGGAGAGGUGCAGAGAAAGAGAGGAGAGAUAGAGAGCGAGGAGAGGUGCAGAGAAAGAGAGGAGAGGUGCAGAGAAAGAGGGGAGAGAUAGAGAGCGAGGAGAGGUGCAGANNNNNNNNNNGAGGAGAGGUGCAGAGAAAGAGAGGAGAUGGACGGCGAGAAACAGAGAGAGAGACGGCUAGGGUGAGAAUGGGGGACAAGAGAAGGAGACAGGAUCAUGGAGAGAGAAAUCAAGUGAAGGCGAAGACAGAGAAAAUGAGACAGGGAGACAGAGAGGACAAAACAGGGGUAGGGAAAGGGAGAGAGAGAAAAGGGAGACUAGGUCGCUACAGAGAGAUUCCUAAUGCCAACAAGAUGUUCAACCCGAUGACUGUAUAAAGGAAUGGACAAAGCCAUCGAUCACGUGACACCAUUCGUUCCUAUGUGAAGACUCAACAGCGCAUUGAAACCAAAUGAGCAUCAGUAGAACACGCCUGACACUCCUCCACCAGUCACACAAGGAGAAUGGUCUAAUGCCUCCCUUCAAAAAGAGAACUGGCCCAAGCAAGAACAGGUUACACCUGAAGCAUGAGGACUUGCAGCGAGUGGUGAACUUCAUCAACAACUACAGGAUAAUGCAACAGUAUUACCAGGAUGCCACCCAGGACACAGGCUCUUUGGUGGAAAGCUGUUGUCAUGUGACAAAUGCAGUGGUGUGGCGUCUCUACAAGGAAUCGAUGACAACACUUGGUAAGUAAAGCUUAAACAACACGUUUUGAAUAUUUAAUUUACCUCCAACAUGAUUGGCACUACUUUUAUUGAUCUCACAUUAUUUCUGUCACGCCUGCUCCCACCCCCCUCUCUGGCGCUAGAGGGAUCCAGGCUGCCUUUCAUUAAGCACACCUGUCACCAUCAUUAAAGCGCAUCAGAGCUCAUUUGACUCACCUGGACUCCACGUUUUGAUUGCCUUCCCUAUAUCUGUCUGGUUGCUCUGUUUCAUUCCUGUGCCAGCGUUGUUGUUGUUUUGGUUUUCCACUGUCAAUGAAACACGGUCAGGAACAGAAUUCGGACAGUGUCUGGCUGACACUACUAUACAAAGCAUCAGGGAGGUUUUUGUUUUUCGUUUUGUUGGUGAUGUCAGGUCCGGGUGCCGCCGCCAUUGGGACCGGGGGUGCCUCAGCUGGCUCGUCGGGCUUCCACGUCUUAGCUGGCUUGAGAGGUUUC